rnacentral:pre_miRNA from 19 species
UCACGGAGAAACUCACGGCAAAAGUUUUUUUGUAUAUCCUGCACAGUUUCAGUUCUCGCAGAGUACGCAAAAAAACAAUUUUGACGUGAGUGCUCUACAG